CGCAGCCUGGCGCGCGUGGUCUGCGGUGGGAGGUCGACGGCCUCCUUGACGGUGGUCUCCUCGACCACCCGCGCGGCCUCCCCGCGCGCCUGCAAC
rnacentral:tRNA from 1 species